UACGUAGGGUGCGAGCGUUAAUCGGAAUUACUGGGCGUAAAGCGUGCGCAGGCGGUUUUGUAAGUCAGAUGUGAAAUCCCCGGGCUUAACCUGGGAACUGCGUUUGAAACUACAAGGCUAGAGUGUGGCAGAGGGGGGUGGAAUUCCGCGUGUAGCAGUGAAAUGCGUAGAUAUCUGGAGGAACACCGGUGGCGAAGGCGGCUUUCUGGACAAAUACCGACGCUGAGGCACGAAAGCUAGGGGAGCAAACAGG
rnacentral:rRNA from 1 species